AACAGGUCUUCGGAUGCUGACGAGUGGCGAACGGGUGAGUAAUACAUCGGAACGUGCCCGAUCGUGGGGGAUAACGAAGCGAAAGCUUUGCUAAUACCGCAUACGAUCUACGGAUGAAAGCAGGGGACCGCAAGGCCUUGCGCGAACGGAGCGGCCGAUGGCAGAUUAGGUAGUUGGUGGGAUAAAAGCUUACCAAGCCGACGAUCUGUAGCUGGUCUGAGAGGACGACCAGCCACACUGGGACUGAGACACGGCCCAGACUCCUACGGGAGGCAGCAGUGGGGAAUUUUGGACAAUGGGCGAAAGCCUGAUCCAGCCAUGCCGCGUGCAGGAUGAAGGCCUUCGGGUUGUAAACUGCUUUUGUACGGAACGAAAAGACUCUGGUUAAUACCUGGGGUCCAUGACGGUACCGUAAGAAUAAGCACCGGCUAACUACGUGCCAGCAGCCGCGGUAAUACGUAGGGUGCAAGCGUUAAUCGGAAUUACUGGGCGUAAAGCGUGCGCAGGCGGUUAUAUAAGACAGAUGUGAAAUCCCCGGGCUCAACCUGGGAACUGCAUUUGUGACUGUAU
rnacentral:rRNA from 1 species